AGUGAACGCUGGCGGUAGGCCUAACACAUGCAAGUCGAACGGCAGCACAGUAAGAGCUUGCUCUUACGGUUGGCGAGUGGCGGACGGGUGAGGAAUACAUCGGCAUCUACUUUUUCGUGGGGGAUAACGUAGGGAAACUUACGCUAAUACCGCAUACGACCUACGGGUGAAAGCAGGGGAUCUUCGGACCUUGCGCGAUUGAAUGAGCCGAUGUCGGAUUAGCUAGUUGGCGGGGUAAAGGCCCACCAAGGCGACGAUCCGUAGCUGGUCUGAGAGGAUGAUCAGCCACACUGGAACUGAGACACGGUCCAGACUCCUACGGGAGGCAGCAGUGGGGAAUAUUGGACAAAGGGCGCAAGCCUGAUCCAGCCAGACCGCGUGGGUGAAGAAGGCCUUCGGGUUGUAAAGCCCUUUUGUUGGGAAAGAAAAGCAGCAGGUUAAUAACCCGCUGUUCUGACGGUACCCAAAGAAUAAGCACCGGCUAACUUCGUG
rnacentral:rRNA from 1 species